GAGUCGCCGGCGAAAAAAGGCGGCAAAGGAAGAUUGAGUCAGAGAAACAAGAGGGAAUUCUCUCGAUCAGCUGAUAAUGUCUCAAAGGAACCAAAACCCUCCUCGGACUCCCAAACAUCGGCAACACUUGUUACAUGAAUUCUGUGCUUCAGUGUUUCUACCACACAUUGCCAGUCACGAAUUUCUUCCGCAGUGAGAAUUUGAGGGGAUAUAUCAACUACGAGAGCGAACAGCAAGGAAGGGUUGCCACAGCUUAUUGCAAGCUGGUAAGAGCCAUGGCCGAGGGGGUAACCUUUUCGAGGCAGUCACAGGCAUGAAGGUUAGUUGAGGUCGACAGAAGAGGAACCAAAUCAGAACCAGAUAGAGAAUGUUGUAUCCAAGAUGCUUUCGAUCUGAUUUUGUUUCUCUUUAGCCACAUAUACAAGUGCA